UUGAAAGGGAAACGAUUGAAGUCAGUCGUACCGACGAGAAAUCAGCUUUUCGAAUGUGCAUUUGUGGGCGUAUGAGAGCUUUACGGCCUUGUUGUUUGCAAUAUGUAUGUUUCUUUGGUGUACUUUUUCGUAUGGUAGGUCAACGUCGGUUUUGGUCGCCAUAAAAUGAUCGGAGGAAUGUAGCUUCGGCCUCGGUUGAAGUGUUAUAGCCUUUGGUAAAUGUGGUGAUUAAGACCGAGGAUUGCAACGAAUACCUUUUAGGCUAUCCGUCUGACCUCUGAAAGUUACUUAGGUGCCGAAAGCUUGCUUACGGCCAUUUAAGUUGACGGUCAAUAGGUUAGAACGUGAUUACAUUCGUUAAGGAUGUUGACGUA
rnacentral:rRNA from 1 species